rnacentral:rRNA from 1 species
GGAGCUUGCGGCAGAUUAGCUAGUUGGUGAGGUAAUGGCUCACCAAGGCGACGAUCUGUAUCCGGCCUGAGAGGGCGGUCGGACACACUGACACUGAAUAACGGGUCAGACUCCUACGGGAGGCAGCAGUCGGGAAUUUUGGGCAAUGGGCGAAAGCCUGACCCAGCAACGCCGCGUGAGGGAUGAAGUAUUUCGGUAUGUAAACCUCGAAAGAAUGGGAAGAAUAAAUGACGGUACCAUUUAUAAGCUCCGGCUAACUACGUGCCAGCAGCCGCGGUAAUACGUAGGGAGCAAGCGUUGUUCGGAUUUACUGGGCCCUAAAGGGCGCGUAGGCGGCGCGGUAAGUCACUUGUGAAAUCUCUGAGCUUAACUCAGAACGGCCAAGUGAUACUGCUGUGCUAGAGUGCGGAAGAGGCAAACCGGAAUUCUUGAGUGUAGCGGUGAAAUGCGUAGAUAUCAAGAGGAACACCUGAGGCGAAGGCGGGUUGCUGGGCCGACACUGACGCUGAUGCGCGAAAGCCAGGGGAGCAAAACGGGAUUAGAUACCCCGGUAGUCC